AUGGGCGGCGGAGGGCCGGGCCGCCCUGCGCGGCGGGGGCCCGCUUGCCUCUGGGUGACGCUGGCGCUGGCGUGGGGCGCGGGGAGCCGCGCCGCCGCGGGGGAGGGGGAAGGAGACGGAGAGCCCGGGCAGGGGGACGCAGGGACGCCGUGUGGGGCGGAGGGCUGGGCGCGGGCCGCCGUCCCGCCGGGCCCGGCCUUCGCGGCCGCCGCGUCGUACCGCGGGCCGGGAAACGACGACGCGCGGGGCGACGGAGCGCUGCCCAUCCUGCUGUGGUGGAGCGGCAGCCUCUUCCCGCACUUCCCCGGCGACACGGAGCGCAUCGACUGCCCGCGGGGCUCCUGCCUCGUCACGCGCAGCCGCCGGGCGGCGCGGCACCGCCGCACCAGGGCGCUCAUCUUCUACGGCACCGACUUCCGCGCCUACGAGGCGCCGCUGCCCCGCCUGCCCCACCAGACGUGGGCGCUGUUCCACGAGGAGUCCCCCAUGAACAACUUCCUCCUCUCGCACCCGCCCGGCAUCCGCCUCUUCAACUACACGGCCACCUUCCGCCGCGAGUCGGACUACCCGCUGACGCUGCAGUGGCUGCCCGGCACGAGUUACCUGCGGGGCCCGGCGCUGCCCCUGGCCGAGAAGGACGCGUGGCGGCGGCGGGGCUACGGCCCGGUGCUGUACGUGCAGUCCCACUGCGACGUGCCCUCGGACAGGGACCGCUACGUGCGGGAGCUCAUGAAGUACAUCCAGGUUGACUCCUAUGGGAAAUGCCUUCAUAACCGCGAGCUUCCCAGUGAGCGACUGAGAGACACUUCAACAGCCACUACAGAAGAUCCCGAAUUCAUGGCUUUUAUUGCCAGGUACAAGUUCCACCUGGCCUUGGAGAAUGCCAUAUGUAACGACUACAUGACAGAGAAGCUGUGGCGUCCAAUGCAUUUGGGUGCUGUCCCAGUAUACCGAGGCUCCCCGGCCGUGCGGGACUGGAUGCCAAACAACCUCUCCAUCAUUCUUAUUGAUGACUUUGAGAGCCCCCGAGAGCUGGCAAAGUACCUUGAUUUCCUUGACAAGAAUGGAGAGGAAUAUAUGAAGUACCUAGAGUAUAAAAACCUUGAUGGCAUCAAAAACCAGUUCUUGCUAGAGAACUUGGAGAGGCGGGAGUGGGGUGUGAAUGACAUGACUUUGCCCAAUUACCUGAAUGGCUUCGAGUGUUUCAUCUGUGACAGGGAGAACGCCCGGGUCAGAGCAGAGCAGGAACACAAAAAGUCUGGUGGGAAAACUCCAGCUCCCGCACCUCAGAUAGCUCAUUUCCAGCACAUGGGAUGCCCUAUGCCAACCCCUGGGUUUGGAAGUGUUGAAGACCUCCCUCGGGAAGACAGUUGGAAAGAGAUGUGGCUUCAGGACUAUUGGCAAAGCCUUGAUCAGGGUGAGGCCCUCACUGCUAUGAUUCAUCACAAUGAGUCACAUCAGGGAAGAUUUUGGGAUUAUAUGCAUGAGAUUUUUCUCAAGAGGACCAGGCAACACUGAUCCAUCCCUGUAAGAGCUUGGUUUGAAAAUUGCGUUGAAGGUUGUGACUGAGAAUUCUUACUUCUCUCCAGAUGUUUGCCUUGAAAUAGAAGAAACUUUUGCAGACUGUUUUUCUGGUGCAUGAAUGCUCCCUCCAGUUUGGAGAUGAACCUUGCAGUCUUUUUGUGCUGAGAUGGAUGAUCAGAAUGGGGAACACGGAGGUGGCUUUGUGUCUGUACCUAAUCUUAAUGCAGUAGGAUCCUGGUCUGUGCUGGAGUUCCUAAAAGUAAGUGAUGACAUAUAAAUCAUCUUUGCUGCAUAACCUGUAUCUCUUAAUAAAUAAAAAAUAUGUGCCGUUACCUGCCAUGCUGGUACCUUCCUGAAAUAAUUGAUCUUGGAUUGGAAGGAGACUUGUUUUUCUUGUCUGAGGGGUUUAAAUUCACAGGCCGCACACUUCAGUGAUAUUUCUAACAGUCUGAUGCUAUUUCUCACUUCUCUCUCUUUGGAAAUAACUACUGGAUAAAUAGCCAGAGUGUAACUAUGUCUAAGGUAGAUCAUUGGAUCUUUGAGGUGAUUUCAUUCUGUAAGGCAGUCCGGGUGUUGCUGGGAGAAGCCAGAAGCCUAUUACUACAAUUUGGGAAGAGGACUAAAUCCACGUUCUGUUACGUUGUCUUCUAUUGUUAAGCUGCGUAUGGAUCAGUUAAUUUCAUUUUUUCUCAAAUUACAAUUCAUAAUAUUCUGGGUAUAUUAUGGAUAUAAUAUUCUUAUAGGUGAUGACACUCAUCUCAGUGUUUGUUUCUCAGGUGAUACAGUAAUGCUGUAGUGUUAAAAUCUGGGCGUUAUGAACAAUGAAGACCCGCAAUUAAUCCCUGCAUUCUUGUGGGUAUGGAAAAUGCAUGUGCAAUACACUGAUCUCACCUGACUUUUUGUACAAGUCUUUUUUUCUUCUGUAAUUAAGUAACAAGUGGCUCUUCAGCUAAAAUUGUUCACCAGUAUACAUUCCUCUUUUUCAGGUACUUGGGCUACAGGAUUGAUUAGGUGAAUAUAUAUGAAUUAUUUUUUCAAGUGGAUUAUUCAGAUCAGAUUAAAAUAUAGAUCUGUAUAUUCAGGAUUGAAGUGGUCACAGCGUGCUUGAGAAGUAAAUAAAGAAAAUUAAGACUGCUUUAGCUCUGAAUAUAAACUUCUACUGAACUGCUUAAUGAGAUUUAAAUAAAUUGUCUGAACAAAUUUCUCCAGUUACUCGAGAUUCUCUUCAUUUCAUGUAUCUGUAUAGAAAAGCAUUUGGUCCUCAUUGAUUGUCUUCUUAAUUAGCUAUAUUUCAAAAACCUUUCUUAUCUAAGUUUUGUUGUUAUAGGCAGGAGAAAUUCUGAUCUUGCUUCUAAUACUAAAUGUAAAAGUAAGGUCCACAUGCUAGCACAUUCUGCUUUUUGCAUUUAUUCUUUAAGUAGAAUUUCUAGAAGUGGGGGAUGUAUUGCCAAGUCUAGGUAUCUUAUUAUUUUUUAAUAAUUUAUCUGCCAUUACCAAAAUUGGACAUUAUAUACAUUAUGUAUUGUCCUUGCAGUAAUAAUGAGUAAGUACCAAUGCAGGCAAGUGUACCAUAGCACUUGCUUAAUUCUUGAUUAGUGAGGUCCUAACUCCCCGCUUCACCUGUCUGCACAGCAAAAUGAGCAUGUCUUUGUUGACUGACAAUAGAAUUGAAGAUCUGGUGGUACAAACUUAAGAGUAGCUAGUAAAAAUUUAACCUUUGAGACCCUCUGUAUGAAUUUAUUGGUUUGAAAUCAAGUAUUCCUUCACCAUUAUUUUUUAUCUUUACUCAGUAUAUUACAUCCACCAGUCCAACAAGUUUAUUUUGUGUUUUUUUUUCCCUGUGUAUAUAUAGUACAAAAGGUGUUUGAGUUUCAUGACUGUUGCCAAAUAUGAGUAUUUUUGACUUCUCUGAUCACUAUAUCCUUUGUUAACACAGGUGAGAAAGUAGCACAGGUAUGAAACUAACUUUAUCACAAAUAUUCUUUGUGGGUUUUUUUCUAAAGUUUUCAAAAUACAACUUUUAGUUAUCUAAAAAUCACAAGGCAGUUUCAACAGUUCUCUCUUCCAAGCUCUUAAUGUCUUCCUAGAUACAGCUGUGUUUUUUCAGUCUCACAAGUGAGGAGUUUCUCAAAAGGUAAUGAGUACCAGGUACCACUCUUCACAGAGCGAAGCCAAGAUAUUCACCCCAAACCUUGUGUUUCUAUUGUAUCUGCAGAUACCAGAGUUUCUUUUGUACCUGCAGUGUUAGACUGUGCUCCCUGUAGCUUCUCCUGUAUGUCACAAUUAACGCCUCUGAUUUGUAAUCGGUGUGAUUAUGUUCAUCAAUACACUAAAUCUGUUUCACUUAUUGUGUACAUUGUGCUAGAGCUGAAAGGGUUGUUCCAAUGUGUGGUAUGAAGUUCUUCUGUAGCUACCAGGCAAGCUCCUCAGGAGCAGGAGGAGCAGUUAUCUUCCCAGCUGGCUGAAGAGAUGUGGUUGUAGUUCUGUUCCAGGCUGCUGGCUGACCUUCAUAACAUCCAGCCCUGUGAACAGAAAAAUGUUGAUCCUCAUCAACAUUUUGCUUUCAUCUUCUUCAACUGUUCGGAGGACACAGAAGGAGAAGCUGUAUCUUAAAGCUUUGAAGGGCAUACGCGUCUUGUCACUGUCCAGUUUGCUUGUAGCUUACACCAGCCCUGGAACAAGAAUACCCAUUGCUCUACAAGCACUCCCUUAUAGCUAAAAUACUUAUAACUGAUAAUCUAUUUUUGACAUAAUUUUUGAUAUAAUUUAUUCUUCUUUUAUUUUCCUACUGUCUUGUCAAAGUAUUCUUUCUGAGAAUGGGUGUCUUCAAGGCUGAGUCCUUCUACCAGGAAUAAAGAAUUUGAGAUCAAUUUACACUGUAAUUCAUUUUGAGAGGAUUGCUCUUUAAUGUCCAAAGACUACUGCCAACGUUAGCCAAAGUGAAUUCAAUUUACAAUCCUAGGUGUCUUUCUACUAAUGCAAAUACAUGAAUGCAGGCAAGGAGGAAGGUCACUGCAGCAGUUAUUCAUAGUUUGGAGAAAGGUGUCUAUUUGUGCAGGUUUCUUGGCAGUAGAUUUCUUACUUCUCUGCUUUAAAUCCAAACCAGCUAAAUAGAGGCUGAAUGUCAUCACUCAUGUUGUGACUGCUGGAAGGCUUAUAAUACUUAUCAGAAACGCUGUAUACAGCCAUCUUCUGUUAACCCUGUUCUUAGUGCACAGGGGCCCAUAAUCACAGAACCACAAUUGAGCCUACUUGGGAAUUUUAGCAAAGGUUAUCAAAUACUAAGGUGAUAAAGAAAUUACCCAUGUGCACCCUUUGGCAGUCCUCUACUAGCCAGAGUGAGUCACUUCCCUGCUCAUCAUGCAUUUUCCUGUUUAUUGUGUGACUAGAGGGAGGAUUUCAGAGCUGUCAAGACAGCUUUAUUCAUUAGCAUUAACGUUCUAAAAAUAGAUACCUUGUCCUCAUAACUGCAUACAUAUGAAACUGUAGUAGAUUCUAUUAAUGCUGAAUUGACUUGAAAAAUUGGGAUAAUUUAUGGCCCCUGAGAGGUGAGGGAAAGAAAUGUCUGACUGAAGGUUAAAAAUCCAGUAAUCCAUUUCAUUGCACUGGACAAGCUGAAGUUAUCUUUCUCCUGCCAAAACUGUGGUAUCGGGUGCCGCUUGAUUUUUUCAGGAAGAAGGUGGGUAUUUUAUUUGUUGAACUGGUAAUCUGUGUUUUCUGUUCUUUCAGUAGGACUGCAAUUUCUAAGAAAACAGCCUCAGUGGAGAAUACUGAUUUGAUACCAAAUAUUGAUUUUUGCAUCUGAAAAGAGGAAGGUUUUUUUCUUUCUUUCACUGUAGUAAUUUUCAGUUAGGAAUUCUAAAACUGAGCUAAUGAUCUCUGGGUCUAUAAUGAUAAAUAGAAUGAAACACUUGAAGAACCAGAUGACUGUGGAUGUGUUUGAGGAGAAAAAGGAAAGAGAGUCUUUCUAUCUGCAAAGUGGCAGCAUCUAGAGAAUCACAGCAAAAGUUCUGUAAUACCUUGACAGAGGGUAGUUUUAACUAUUUUGGCAAACAAUUGAUAGUGAAGGAACAAAUAACUCCUACAGUUCUGGAAGCAGUAUAAAUUGAAUUGGAACACUGUCAGGGACAUCGCUGUUUAAACAGGCUUUGCUAUGUUAGACAAGUGGCCAUAUGCCCCCCCGUAACAUCUUUGCAUACUCACACUUCACCUAUCGUCCCAAGAGAGCCACUCCCUUAAUAAUUAGCUGUCAUCUAUUUGGUUGAAUUUAAUUAAGAUUGUUGAUAGAUCUCCAGGCACCUCCUGAGAAGUUGCGUUAAUUGGAAACAUCUAGGAAGUUACCUUCCUUCAUUCUGCCCGGAGACUUCUACUGACAAGUCAAAAUUAAUCAGAGACAAAAUCCUUUUAGUGAUAGGACCAGCUGAGCCAAAGCCUAUGUCAAGUUUUAACAGAGUGCACUUCUCUUAUGAUUCAGUGUCUCUAAGCUGGCAGCGAAAGAUACCUGGCCUUGCAGAGAGAUUAGGAAGAGUGGAGAGGAGUGGAACUGCAGGGUUUGUUCUGGAGCCCUGAUAGGACUGGCAUCUUAAUUUGUAUUCUAUGUGCUCUUC